rnacentral:rRNA from 1 species
AUGUUUGAUAUUGACACACAAGUUGAUACUGUUGUACCGUGUUGUGUAUUGCACAAUUUCAUAAGGCUACACAAUGGAGAUAUGACACUGCCUGAUAGAGCUACAAUGGAUGUUAAUGAAAGCAAUAUGAAGGAUGUACCAGAUGGAGAUGUCAAAUACAAAAAAGAUGUGAUUGUAUUUAACAACUUGAGACAAGCUGAAAAUGAGAUGCGAGAUGCCAUGGCAAUGCAAAUGUGGGCAGAUUACAUUGCUAGAAGAUAA